rnacentral:rRNA from 1 species
AUAGCCUCAGUAACGGCGAGUGAAGCGGCUACAGCUCAAAUUUGAAAUCUGGCCUCCUUUGGGGGUCCGAGUUGUAAUUUGCAGAGGAUGCUUUGGCAUUGGCGGCGGUCUAAGUUCCUUGGAACAGGACAUCGCAGAGGGUGAGAAUCCCGUACGUGGGCGCCUGCCUUUGCCGUGUAAAGCUCCUUCGACGAGUCGAGUUGUUUGGGAAUGCAGCUCUAAAUGGGAGGUAAAUUUCUCCUAAAGCUAAAUACCGGCCAGAGACCGAUAGCGCACAAGUAGAGUGAUCGAAAGAUGAAAAGUACUUUGGAAAGAGAGUCAAAUAGCACGUGAAAUUGUUGAAAGGGAAGCGCUUGCAGCCAGACUUGCCCGCAGUUGCUCACCUAGGCUUUCGCCUGGGGCACUCUUCUGCGGGCAGGCCAGCAUCAGUUUGGGCGGUCGGAUAAAGGCCUCUGUCAUGUACCACCCCUCGGGGUGGCCUUAUAGGGGAGGCGUAAUGCGACCAGCCCGGACUGAGGUCCGCGCAUCUGCUAGGAUGCUGGCGUAAUGGCUGUAAGCGGCCCGUCUUGAAACACGGACCAAGGAGUCUAACAUCUAUGCGAGUGUUUGGGUGUCAAGCCCGGGCGCGCAAUGAAAGUGAACGGAGGUGGGAACCCUUCGGGGUGCACCAUCGACCGAUCCUGAAGUCUUCGGAUGGAUUUGAGUAAGAGCAUAGCUGUUGGGACCCGAAAGAUGGUGAACUAUGCUUGAAUAGGGUGAAGCCAGAGGAAACUCUGGUGGAGGCUCGCAGCGGUUCUGACGUGCAAAUCGAUCGUCAAAUUUGG